CUACGGGAGGCUGCAGUGAGGAAUAUUGCACAAUGGGGGGAACCCUGAUGCAGCAACGCCGCGUGGAGGAUGACGCAUUUCGGUGUGUAAACUCCUUUUAUAUGUCAAGAAAAUGACGGUAGCAUAUGAAUAAGCACCGGCUAACUCCGUGCCAGCAGCCGCGGUAAUACGGAGGGUGCAAGCGUUACUCGGAAUCACUGGGCGUAAAGGACGCGUAGGCGGGUUGGAAAGUCAGGUGUGAAAUCCUACAGCUUAACUGCAGAACUGCACUUGAAACUUCUAAUCUAGAGUAUGGGAGGGGGAGAUGGAAUUAGUGGUGUAGGGGUAAAAUCCGUAGAUAUCACUAGGAAUACCUAAAGCGAAGGCGAUCUGCUGGAACAUAACUGACGCUAAGGCGUGAAAGCGUGGGGAGCAAACAGGAUUAGAUACCCCUGUAGUC
rnacentral:rRNA from 1 species